rnacentral:rRNA from 1 species
UCGAGGAUCUUCGGCAAUGGGGGAAACCCUGACCGAGCGACGCCGCGUGCGGGAUGAAGGCCUUCGGGUUGUAAACCGCUGUCAGAGGGGAGGAAAUGCCGGGAAGUAAUUCAUAAUCGACCCGGUUUGACCUAUCCUCAGAGGAAGGACGGGCUAAGUUCGUGCCAGCAGCCGCGGUAAUACGAACCGUCCAAACGUUAUUCGGAAUCACUGGGCUUAAAGGGUGCGUAGGCGGCCCGGUAAGUUGGGUGUGAAAGCCCUCGGCUCAACCGAGGAAUUGCGCCCAAAACUGCCGGGCUCGAGGGAGACAGAGGUGAGCGGAACUUAGGGUGGAGCGGUGAAAUGCGUUGAUAUCCUAAGGAACACCAGUAGCGUAAGCGGCUCACUGGGUCUCUUCUGACGCUGAGGCACGAAAGCUAGGGGAGCGAAGAG